rnacentral:rRNA from 1 species
CAGCGCCGCGGUAAUACAGAGGGUGCGAGCGUUAAUCGGAUUUACUGGGCGUAAAGCGUGCGUAGGCGGCUUCUUAAGUCGGAUGUGAAAUCCCUGAGCUUAACUUAGGAAUUGCAUUCGAUACUGGGAAGCUAGAGUAUGGGAGAGGAUGGUAGAAUUCCAGGUGUAGCGGUGAAAUGCGUAGAGAUCUGGAGGAAUACCGAUGGCGAAGGCAGCCAUCUGGCCUAAUACUGACGCUGAGGUACGAAAGCAUGGGGAGCAAACAGGAUUAGAUACCCGUGUAGUCCCUGUCUCUUAUACA